UACGGAAGGCAGCAGUGGGGAAUAUUGCACAAUGGGCGCAAGCCUGAUGCAGCCAUGCCGCGUGUAUGAAGAAGGCCUUCGGGUUGUAAAGUACUUUCAGUCGUGAGGAAGGUGUUAAGGUUAAUAACCUUAGCAAUUGACGUUAGCGACAGAAGAAGCACCGGCUAACUCCGUGCCAGCAGCCGCGGUAAUACGGAGGGUGCGAGCGUUAAUCGGAAUUACCGGGCGUAAAGGGCACGCAGGCGGUUAAUUAAGUUGGAUGUGAAAUCCCCGGGCUUAACCUGGGAAUGGCAUUCAAGACUGGUUAGCUAGAGUCUUGUAGAGGGGGUAGAAUUCCAUGUGUAGCGGUGAAAUGCGUAGAGAUGUGGAGGAAUACCGGUGGCGAAGGCGGCCCCUGGACAAAGACUGACGCUCAUGUGCGAAAGCGUGGGGAGCGAAACAGGGAUUAGAUACC
rnacentral:rRNA from 1 species